GCCCCAUUCAUGCUGGGAUGAGCUCACUGUGUAAUCUGAGCCUCACUGUAACACUGCAAUGGGAUACCAGCUGCAGCGGCUGCCAUGGCAGGGCUGGUCCCACCGGAGGAGGCACCCUGGCACCCCUGACUCCCAGGAUGAGUCCCAGGGAACACCAGGGUGGAGUCAGGGGCAGGGAGACUCUUGGGGACUCUGAGGGAGCCACAGCCCAGGGAGACCUCCCAAGAAGACCUCCCAAGAAUCAAGCCCAGCCUGUGGACCUGGGGUGCUGAUGCUCACCAAGGGAGGCAGCGAUCCUCCUGGCGGCUGGCAGAGACCGGGCCUGCAGCACAGACUGUUUCCUCGGAUGGGGUACCCUGAGGCCUUGAUAGGGUGAAGGCAUAUCAAGAAGUCUGACUGUGGUCAUGGAGCACUCAUGGGAAGAAGGGGUGUUACCAGCACUAGAAAAUCCGACAUCUUUUCUUUUCACCAUUCCUAGAGGUGUCCCCCAGGCCACAUGUGCAGCCUCAAACUUGGACUCCUGCAGUCUCUCUCCCAGGUCUUCUCACCUCUGCCCAAGCCAGCUCCUACGCCUGAUGUGGGCCCAUCUUCCUCCCCCACCGUCUCCCCUCCAGCUCAACAUAAGCUACCAAGGGGUCCCUCCCUGCUCAUCAGCCUUUCAGCUGUCACUUAACAGGGUGCUCCUGCCCAUUCUCCAAGUGCCUCCUCCAACAGGCAGACUUCCCUGGCCACCACCUCAUAUUCUGCCAGCUCUAAGACUCAUCAUCAGGACCCCUUGUUCCACUUUCACCUUAUUAUUGAUGUUUUCCAAGUGUGUGUCUUGUUUUCUCAACAAAUUACACACAGUAUAAUACCACCACCCAUACUGGCUGAGAUGUCCUGAGUUCUUGCUUACUCUGUGCCAGGCACAGGACAGCUUCUUCUCUGAGGAGGGAAAUGGUAUAAAAGACUAAGCAUAGGGCCCAGCACACAGUCAGUGCUCAAGCAGGGCAGGAGUUUCUCAGAUCUGCUCAAACACCACUGGCAGGUGGAUAAAUUGGUGUACUCUUUCUGGAAAGCCAUUUCCAUUAUGUAUUCAA
rnacentral:lncRNA from 10 species